UUUACUUAAAAGUACCGUAAAACGGGGUGAUUAGGGAUCCAGGGGUGAAUAGGGAUAAAAUCAAAAUUGAACCUGAGACGAGAAAUUAAUUUGCUUACCAUAGAUUACUACAUACUUUUUGGAAGAAAAUCGUAGUAGAAUAUAUACUCUCUAGGUUGGCAGCAUUUGUUUAACAUGAAGUCAAGCAAUUCGGCGUAAGAUUCACUACUGAAGUUGUUGCUCUGUUACCGGUGUUUUUUUGUGGUUCUAAACUUUCGAGAUAAAUAUAUUUUUUUAGAACUAUUUGAGCUAGUUUAGUUUUAUUACGGUAUAUUAGUUAUUUCUAGAGACGUUACAUAAAGGAUAACAUCUAUUUUUGGACAACGCCGCGUGAUUACCAAACUAGUCGAAACACAAAUUAUAAAAAAUAUGACGAUUCUGUAAUAGAAAUAGCACUACACGAGUACAAUAGCUCUAACCUUUCCUUUAAAGAUGUUUCACGGAAAUACGAUAUACCGAAAUCAGUCCUGCAUCGGCACAACACCCGUGUCAUGAAAAACAAGGAGGCCAAACUGCCCUAAGCCGGGCUGAAGAAGCGUACUUAGUAGAGUACGUAAAUGUAUGUUCAGAAUGGGGAUAUCCUCUAGAACCCAUUGAUUUUAGAUUGCUGAUAAAAGGAUACCUGGAUAAAAUGGGAGUUGAUAUCAAAAGGUUCAAAAAUAAUUAGCCAGGUCCUGAUUUUAUGUCAUGUUUUCUUAAAAGGCAUAAAAAUAAAAUUAGCAAAAGACUCAGUCAAAAUACAAAGAGAGCAAGAGCAGCUGUUUCACCAGAAACCAUCGAUGAAUAUUUUAGAAAACUUGAAACGUCUCUUCGAGGCACACCACCUGCUAACAUUGAUAAUUACGAUGAGACCAACCUCAGCGAUGACCCAGGACGUCAGAGUGCUGGUUAAGAGAACAGUCAAAUACCCUGAAAGGGUAAUGAACCAUACAAAGGGUUCCACAUCUCUUAUGAUGACUUCUGCAGCUGACGGCACUCUUCUACCCCCAUAUGUUGUAUAUAAAUUGCAAAAUAUGUACGAUACGUGGCGGCAAAAUGGACAUAAAUAUUGUAGGUACAACUGCACACCUUCCGGCUCGUUCGAUGGUAAUAUUUUCCAGGACUGGGUUUGAACUAUUGCAAUGCCGUAUUUCAGUGAUAAAAUUGGAUCUAAAAUUUUUAUAGGUGAUAACCUGGCCUCUUAUUUAUACUUAAUAUAAUAAUUGAUAUGUUAAUUAUAAUACUUUAAGUAUAGUAUGUUGAUUAAAAAAAGAUUUUAAUACUUCUAUAAUGUUGAUUAUUACAGUGAUUUUAUAUUUUUGAA